GGCGACCGGCGCACGGGUGCGGAACGCGUAUGGAACCUGCCCCUGUCAGGGGAAUAGCCCAGGGAAACUUGGAUUAAUGCCCCAUGGUACCGCGAUAUCGCAUGAUAUUGCGGUUAAAGAUUUAUCGGACAGGGAUGGCCAUGCGUACCAUUAGUUAGUUGGUGGGGUAACGGCCCACCAAGGCAGCGAUGGUUAGGGGCCCUGAGAGGGGGAUCCCCCACACUGGUACUGAGACACGGACCAGACUCCUACGGGAGGCAGCAGUGGGGAAUCUUGGACAAUGGGGGCAACCCUGAUCCAGCCAUGCCGCGUGUGUGAUGAAGGCCCUAGGGUUGUAAAGCACUUUCAACGGUGAAGAUAAUGACGGUAACCGUAGAAGAAGCCCCGGCUAACUUCGUGCCAGCAGCCGCGGUAAUACGAAGGGGGCUAGCGUUGUUCGGAAUUACUGGGCGUAAAGCGCACGUAGGCGGACAUUUAAGUCAGGGGUGAAAUCCCGGGGCUCAACCCCGGAACUGCCUCUGAUACUGGGUGUCUUGAGUGUGGUAGAGGUGAGUGGAAUUGCGAGUGUAGAGGUGAAAUUCGUAGAUAUUUGGAAGAACACCAGUGGCGAAGGCGGCUUACUGGACCGGUAUUGACGCUGAUGUGCGAAAGCGUGGGGAGCGAACAGGAUUAGAUACCCUGGUAGUCCACGCCGUAAACGAUGAGUGCUAGUUGUCGGGGGUUCGGCCUUCGGUGACGCAGCUAACGCGUUAAGCACUCCGCCUGGGGAGUACGGCCGCAAGGUUAAAACUCAAAGGAAUUGACGGGGGCCCGCACAAGCGG
rnacentral:rRNA from 12 species